UCGGAUUCCGAAUUCACCCAAUUACCGUCCUCAUUAUACAAACCAAUAAUCCUAUUUUGAAUUCUUCUUUGUUUAAUGAGGGCAUGAUAAAAUUUUGUGUUCCGAUCACCACAAGUAUGCCAAGUCAUCCUACUCUUUGUUCCCAAUAUUGUUCCUCAUCCUGAUAAGCUUCCUGUAGUUUCCUCGAUAAAAUGUUAAGAUAUUAUUACCAAUUUUCAAGUUUUUGACAGAAAUACAAAGGCGACAAGAAACGGAGGAACGAAAAUCAAAUACCUAAACACCAACUCGAGACAGACUAAUACAGGGAUAGACACAA
rnacentral:lncRNA from 1 species